rnacentral:rRNA from 1 species
UACGGAGGGUGCGAGCGUUGUCCGGAAUUAUUGGGCGUAAAGAGCUCGUAGGCGGUCUGUCGCGUCGAUCGUGAAAACUUGGGGCUUAACCCUGAGCUUGCGGUCGAUACGGGCAUGACUGGAGUUCGGCAGGGGAGACUGGAAUUCCUGGUGUAGCGGUGAAAUGCGCAGAUAUCAGGAGGAACACCGGUGGCGAAGGCGGGUCUCUGGGCCGAUACUGACGCUGAGGAGCGAAAGCGUGGGGAGCGAACAGG